rnacentral:rRNA from 1 species
GAUGAACGCUGGCGGCGGGCCUAAUACAUGCAAGUCGAGCGAACAGACGAUGAGCUUUUUCCUUUGAGGGUAGCGGCGGACGGGUGAGUAACACAUGCAUAGCCUACCUAUAAUUCUGGGAGAACUUCGGGAAGCCGCAGCUAAUACUAGAUAAUAUAUUCAACCGCAUGGAGCAAUGGUGAAACACAGUUUUCCUGUCACUAUGAGAUGAAUCCGCGCCGGAUUAGCUAGUUGGUAAGGUAACGGCUUACCAAGGCAACGAUGCGUAGCCGACCUGAGAGGGUGAUCGGCCACACUGGAACUGAGACACGGUCCAGACUCCUACGGGAGGCAGCAGUGGGGAAUAUUGGGCAAUGGGCGCAAGCCUGACGGAGCCAUGCCGCGUGGGUGAUGAAGGUCUUCGGAUCGUAAAACUCUGUUAUUAGGAAAGAAAAAAUGUGUAAGUAACUAUGCACGUUUUGACGGUACCUAAUCAGAAAGCCCCGGCUAACUACGUG